AUUGCCACAAUAUAUUUAAUCAACAGAUACACAAGCGCAGAACAGUGACCCUGAUCAACAUUUGAUAACUACUCUGCUGAUAAACCAAUUCCUGGUUUAAGGUAACUUAAGCAGACGACGAAGGUAUACCAGAUAUUGAGAAUGUUCAAUUGCAACCAUAAAAGUUGUUCAUAGUAGUAAAAUAUCUUGUACAAGUGACACGUAGCCACAUCUUUUAGUGGUAUCAUAUAUGUUCAAACCAGGUACCAGGGAUACAGAUAUAUUUAAGUAAAUAUCAUGUAAAAUCACACUAAAGGUAUACCAGAUAUUGAGAAUGUUCAAUUGCAACCAUAAAAGUUGUUCAUAGUAGUAAAAUAUCUUGUACAAGUGACACGUAGCCACAUCUUUUAGUGGUAUCAUAUAUGUUCAAACCAGGUACCAGGGAUACAGAUAUAUUUAAGUAAAUAUCAUGUAAAAUCACACUGCAGUACUUACGACGAGCACACGCAAUUUAAAUUAUAAAGCACUCAUAAGAGACACGGACAUAGACACGGAUAUGACAUGGCAUGACAUGCAACUUAUCAAAAAAGGAGUGCAUGAGUAGUGUGUGUCCAUGCUUCACGUGAGAGAGCAAUUUUGGAGCGAGCACUACAUAAGAAGUCAUCUCAUCUACAAAGAUACAGAGGGCAAAGGUAGACAA
rnacentral:lncRNA from 1 species